rnacentral:rRNA from 1 species
GUCUAUUUGGAGAUAUAAAAAGUCUAGCCUGCCCGCUGAUAAAUAUUUAAGGGCCGCGGUAUUUCUGACUGUGCAAAGGUAGCAUAAUCGUUAGUUUUUUAAUUGAAAUCUUGUAUGAAUGGUUUGACAAAAGAAAAACUGUCUUUAUAAUUAUUUAUUGAAUUUAACUUUUAAGUGAAAAGGCUUAAAUAAGUUAAAAAGACGAUAAGACCCUAUAAAGCUUAAUAUUAAUUUUUAUUUAAUAAAAUUUUAAGUAUUAUAAAUAUUUGGUAAAUUGUUUUUAUUAUAUUGGGGCGAUAAUGGUAAAAUUAUUAUUAACUGUUAAUUGAAUUUUAAACAAAAAUAAAUGGAUAAUGCAUGUAUGUAAAUGAUCCUUUUUAAAGAUUAAAAGUUUAAGUUACUUUAGGGAUAACAGCGUUAUUUUUUUUGAGAGUUCUUAUCGAAAAAAAAGUUUGCGACCUCGAUGUUGAAUUAAAAUAUCUAUAUAAUUGUAGCAGUUAUAUAAGAAGGUCUGUUCGACCUUUAAAUUUUUACAUGAUUUGAGUUCAAACCGGCGUGAGCCAGGUUGGUUUCUAUCUUUUAAUAAAUUAAAAAUUAUUUUAGUACGAAAGGAUUGAAUAAUUAAAAUUAUUUUAACUAUAGG